AGUUCGAUUAUGGCUCAGAUUGAACGCUGGCGGGAUGUUUUUACAUGCAAGUCGAACGGCAGCACGGACUUCGGUUCAGUAUGAGCGGCGAAUUGGUGAGUAAUGUAUCGGAACGUGCCUAGUAAAGCGGGGGAUAACUACGCGAAAGCAGCUAAUACCGCAUAAUACCCUUCGGGGAAAGCGGGGACCUUCGGGCCUCGCACUAUUAGAGCGGCCGACAUCGGAUUAUUGUAGUUGGUGGGGUAACGGCUCACCAAGGCGACGAUCCGUAGCUGGUUUGAGAGGACGACCAGCCACACUGGGACUGAGACACGGCCCAGACUCCUACGGGAGGCAGCAGUGGGGAAUUUUGGACAAUGGGGAAACCCUGAUCCAGCCAUCCCGCGUGCGAUGAAGGCCUUCGGGUUGUAAAGCACUUUUGGCAGGAAGAAACGGCACGGGAUAAUACCCCGUGCAACUGACGGUACCUGCAGAAUAAGCACUGGCUAACUACGUGCCAGCAGCCGCGGUAAUGGUGGGUGCAAGCGUUAAUCGGAAUUCAUUGGCGAAGCGUGCGCAGGCGGUUCGGAAAGAAAGAUGUGAAAUCCCAGAGCUUAACUUUGGAACUGCAUUUUUAACUACCGAGCUAGAGUGUGCCGAGGGAGGUGGAAUUCCGCGUAGUGAACAUAGAUAUGCGGAGGAACACCGAUGGCGAAGGCAGCCUCCUGAUAAAUAAUGGACGCUCAUGCACGAAAGCGUGGGGAGCAAACAGGAUUAGAUACCCGUAGUCCACGCCCUAAAACGAUGUCGCAGAACUAGCUGUUGGGGCUCCUCGGCCUGGUAGCGCAGCGACUGGCAGAAGUUGACCGCCUGGGGAGCAGGUUUGAUUAAAACUCCAAAGGAAUUGGACGGGGACCCGCACAAGCGGUGGAUGAUGUGGAUUAAUUCGAUGCAACGCGAAAACCUUACCUACCCUUGACAUGUCUGGAAUCCUUGGAGAGACGGGAGUGCUCGCAAGAGAACUCGGAACACAGGUGCCGGGAUGGAAGCUGUCGCUGAAGCUCGUGUCGUGAGAUGUUGGGUUAAGUCCCGCAACGAGCGCAACCCUUGUCAUUAGUUGCUACGAAAAGGGCAACGAGAUAUCGAAUUGCCGGCACAAACCGGAGGAAAGGUGAUGACGUCAAGUCCUUGUCGGCCCUUAUGGGUAGGGCUUCACGUCAGUACAAUGGUCGGGACAGAGGGUCGCCAACCCGCGAGGGGGAGCUAAUCCCAGAAACCCGAUCGUAGUCCGAUCGCAGUUCGCAACCUGACUGCGUGAAGUCGGAAUCGCUAGUAAUCGCGGAUCAGCAUGUCGCGGUGAAUACGUUCCCGGGGUCUUUGCAUACCGCCCGUCACACCAUGGAGUGGGUUUUACCAGAAGUAGUUAGCCCAACUGCAAGGAGGCGAUUACCACGGUAGGAUUCAUGAUCAAAGAAGUCAACAAGGUAG
rnacentral:rRNA from 1 species